GGCGACGACGGGUAGCCGACCUGAGAGGGUGAUCGGCCACACUGGGACUGAGACACGGCCCAGACUCCUACGGGAGGCAGCAGUAGGGAAUCUUCCGCAAUGGGCGAAAGCCUGACGGAGCAACGCCGCGUGAGUGAUGAAGGUUUUCGGAUCGUAAAGCUCUUUCAGUAGGGAAGAACAAAUGUGUAAGUAACUGUGCACAUCUUGACGGUACCUGAUCAGAAAGCCACGGCUAACUACGUGCCAGCAGCCGCGGUAAUACGUAGGUGGCAAGCGUUAUCCGGAAUUAUUGGGCGUAAAGCGCGCGUAGGCGGUUUUUUAAGUCUGAUGUGAAAGCCCACGGCUCAACCGUGGAGGGUCAUUGGAAACUGGAAAACUUGAGUGCAGAAGAGGAAAGUGGAAUUCCAUGUGUAGCGGUGA
rnacentral:rRNA from 2 species